ensembl:lncRNA
CACAGAUUUAAGCUUCUCUUUUUUUUGAUUGCACAAGUAAAGGGCUUGGUUAUUUUUGUGUAUCAUCAUUGGUUGUUUCUGUAUAAUGCUAUGUGUGGCACAGAGGUAUAAAAGUUCCUAAUCUGUAGUUCAGCUUCAACUUGAGGAGGAGGAACUGUUCAACUGAAAAGUUACAACCUCCACGGCUGCAUUCUUACACAUUUAUUGAAAACAGAACUUGAAAAAGUUGAAAUGAAGAAGCCUGCUCUCCUCUCUGCAGCCCUGCUGCUGCUGUUUUUUGUUGGGACAUCAGCUCAGGAGGCAGCCUCUUCGGUGGACUGACGAGACUGAGAUACUCAAACCAAGGCUUCAACUUUCAGUACAUACCACAUGAUGACUAUGGACCAUUCCUUCAGAGUGUAAAUGGUUUGGCAGGAAAUUCAUCACACUACUGGCAACUGCUGAGUGGUACAACCCCACUCAAUGUUGGUAUGGGAUGCUACCUUCCAACUGCAAAUGAAGUCGUCACCCUGAAAUACACGAAAAUUUAAGACCAUCUAAAGUCUUAUUAUGACUCAUGGUCAACCAAUACACUUUGAUCUUUGGCAAGUUGAGGUGAAUAAUUGACUUGUGUCAUUUUUUUGCUUGGGAGUCUUCUAAUCAUAAAUCAGUAGCCUAUCACUGGCUUAGAUUCUUUUACUGGGUUUCUGUCAGACUUUAUGAAUUAAGAUUACAGCGUUAAUCUACAAUUCUGCCACAGUGUAGUAAUCUGGAGUAAUAGAAAACUCCAUUAGUCACAAGAGCAGUCAGUAAAACAUAUACAACAACUUGAACUGUUUUUUAAUUUACUGCCUUUAUGGCAACUUUUAUUGUGUUUGAGAGCAAUUAGUAGUUUCUCAACUUGCCCCCAUGUAUCAUAAUUUUACAUUCAAAUUCCAUAUUUGAUGCUUACAAGUGGUCUCAGUUUUACUGUAAAAGGAUGGUGUGGUUAUACAGUAGACUGCCCAGAGACUGCUGGCCAGCAAAAACAGCAGGGGGGGUCAGCUGCUGACUCCAUGUCAAAAUAGCUUCUUUAUCCUGCAAAUCAAGUUAUCAACAGCUUGCGAGUCAAAAGGCUUCUGAGAUUGACUGGGCUGCUGACCUCCCCUAUUUUUGAGCUUUUGGGGGUUUAUUAGAGUGGCAAAAUAAGAUCAAAUUCAUUGCUGAAUAAUUUUUGUAUGAGUGCAUUUUUAUUGUUGAAUAAAAUGUUACUGAUUAUUAGUGUUAUCUUCCUCAGGCAUUAAAUAAAGCAUGUAACUUGUAGUCAAAAUAAAAUGUUUCUAGCCUUGGUUUGUUUUAUUUUUAGACAGGCUUAUUUAAAGUGUUGUUAGCAUGUCCAUCAUUAUGUAUCCUAAAACAAUGACAGCUCUAGACCAGGGGUGUCAAAAAUCAGGCCAGAGGCCAGAAACGGCUGUGAGAUUAUCAUACUAUCUUAUGCCACC